AACGAACGCUGGCGGCAUGCCUAACACAUGCAAGUCGAACGAGACCUUCGGGUCUAGUGGCGCACGGGUGCGUAACGCGUGGGAACCUGCCCUUAGGUUCGGAAUAACUCCCCGAAAGGGGUGCUAAUACCGGAUAAUGUCUUCGGACCAAAGAUUUAUCGCCUUUGGAUGGGCCCGCGUUGGAUUAGCUAGUUGGUAGGGUAAAAGCCUACCAAGGCGACGAUCCAUAGCUGGUCUGAGAGGAUGAUCAGCCACACUGGGACUGAGACACGGCCCAGACUCCUACGGGAGGCAGCAGUGGGGAAUAUUGGACAAUGGGCGAAAGCCUGAUCCAGCAAUGCCGCGUGAGUGAUGAAGGCCUUAGGGUUGUAAAGCUCUUUUACCCGGGAUGAUAAGGACAGUACCGGGAGAAUAAGCUCCGGCUAACUCCGUG
rnacentral:rRNA from 1 species